rnacentral:misc_RNA from 1 species
GCAGCAGAUAAGAUUUUCGGAUCUUGCUGAGUACUUGUGUGCUUGUGUCUAUUGAUAUCUGCCUGGAGUUCUCCAUCUUGAGUAGUUGCGUCUCUCAACAAUAAUAAUAGUGGAACAUAUGAAGAUGAAUUGUUAUUCUGCAAGAAGCUGAAGAUAUUGGCAGCUCCAACCAUUCCAUCAACGACGGUGAAUUUGUGUGAAUCAGUGGGUGGUAAGUAGGAAGCUACAUAACACUUGUCAGUGCAUUGCCGACCGUGGAUUUUGCAGGCAGCGCAUGGUCCAAGAUUACCAGCAUCAUCAGAAGGAUU